AUAGAUAUAGUUUAAUCAAAACACUAGAUUGUGGUUCUAAAGAAAAAAGUUAAAGUCUUUUUAUCGAUC
rnacentral:tRNA from 1 species